AUCCCUGCAGAGCAAUGGAUAGCCCGUUGGACUUCUAAUCCGAAGGUCAUGGAUUCGAAGCCCACCUGAGAUG